CAAGAAUGGCAUCUAAAAACUAUCAACCAGUGGAGAGAUGGGCACACUCCACAGUAAAGGUAGGAGACUACCUAUAUAUGUGGGGUGGGGCCGCGUUUAGAGUACACUAUGAUGUGAUGGAGGUGUAUCACUUACCAACUGGUGCUUGGGACCAGAAACCUACUACUGGUACCCCACCACCAGGUACCUGGGGCUAUUCAUCAGUUGCUAUUGGGAAGGACAUAUAUUAUUUUGGUGGAGAUGAUGGUGGUGGUUAUCAAAACAGCUUACAAUGUUUCAAUGUGGAUUCAUUGAAGUGGAAAAAACUCUCUCCUUCUAGUUCUGAUUAUAGUCCAAUGAAGAAGGCCUACUGUGGAAUAAUAUCAGUUCAUUUUGAUGGUGAAGACUUUCUUAUAAUAAUUGGAGGAAUUGGAUCAUUUUAUAUCGAUACUCCAAAGCAACCUGAUGCUCAGCAUUCAGCUACUGGUAGAUGUAAUGAGAUACAUUAUUACAAGAUUUCAUCAGACUCUCUUUUCUCUGAAGAGCCAUUUGAAGUGCUUUUAUAUUCUGUCAUUCAACCAUAAUUAAUAAAAACUUGAAGAUUUAUGUGUGUUUUCUUGAAUUUUCUCUGCUGAUGAAGUGUCUUGACAAGAGAUCUGUCCGUAAGAUUGGCUAAGAUAUUGUGCACACAUGGGUGUGACCAGAAUAGGCGUGACU
rnacentral:misc_RNA from 1 species